rnacentral:rRNA from 1 species
CGGAAAGUAGUAGUAAUAUUACUUUUAGCGGCGAACGGGUGAGUAAUGCUUAUCUUACUUGCCAAUUAGUGGGGGAUAACCAUGGGAAACCAUGGCUAAUACCGCAUCUGUUACUUCGGUAAUGAAAGGAGGUCGCAAGACUUUCGCUAAUUGAUAGGGAUAAGUCGUAUUAGUUAGUUGGUGGGGUAAUGGCCUACCAAGACGAUGAUGCGUAGCCAGUCUGAGAGGAUGAAUGGCCACAAGGGAACUGAGACACGGUCCCUACUCCUACGGGAGGCAGCAGUGAGGAAUUUUCGGCAAUGGGGGAAACCCUGACCGAGCAAUACUACGUGAAGGAGGAAGGUCUACGGA